rnacentral:rRNA from 1 species
UUUCCCAAAGGGGUACAUAGUUAAACGGCCGCGGUACCCUGUACCGUGCGAAGGUAGCAUAAUCACUUGUUCUUUAAAUAAGGACUAGUAUCAACGGCAUCACGAGGGUUCUACUGUCUCCCCCCUCUAAUCAGUGAAACUGACUUCCCCGUGAAGAGGCGGGGAUACAACUACAAGACGAGAAGACCCCAUGGAGCUUUAAACCCGCUAACAACCCCUAUUGAAAUACUCCCAUAUAAAUGAAAAGCACUGUAUAGCGGUUUUAGGUUGGGGUGACCACGGAGUAAAAUUAAACCUCCAUGACGAACGGAAUAUAUCCUAAUCCACGAGCCACCACUCUAAGAAUCAAAAACUUGACAUAAUAUGAUCCGGUGACCGAUCAACGAACCAAGUUACCCUGGGGAUAACAGCGCAAUCCAUUUCAAGAGCCCCUAUCGACAAAUGGGUUUACGACCUCGAUGUUGGAUCAGGGUAUCCCAGUGGUGCAGCCGCUACUAAAGGUUUGUUUGUUCAACAAUUAAAACCCUACGUGAUCUGAGUUCAGAACCGGGAGAA